UUGCUGUUCUCAAUCAGCUCGCUAAUGUUAACGGGCUAAAAGAACAAUUGAUUAACUGAGCUUCAGCCCUUACGACGAACGGGGCCCAGGCUGCCUCACUAAACGAUGCACACCUGUAACUCACGUGACCCUAAUUAUUAUUGAAACGAGAACGAGGGCGUCGUGCCUUUAUAAGACUGCGUUAAUGUUUCCUUGGAGUUAUCCCUUCUGUUGUUGUUUAUUGAUUGUUAAACAUGGCUUCAUUUGCAAAGGCGGUUGUGUGUGUCCUCAUUGCUUGUGUCUGUAAUGCAUUCUGUUUUCCGAAGAGAGAUGUGAACUUUAAGGCCUCUGCAGUUGACCGCCAAAGUGAUGUGGUUGUCACCACAACACCCGUUCCCCACAACCAGACCACAUCUGCCCAUACUGAAGCUGGUGGUGGUGCAAGUGAAGAUGCUGUGGCUACUACCCCAGCACCUAAUCUACACAACCAGACAACUUCUGCACAAACUGAAGUUACUGAUGGAGCCAGUGAAGAUGCUGUGGACCGCCAAAGUGAUGUGGUUGUCGCCACAACACCCGAUCCCCACAACCAGACCACAUCUGCCCAUACUGAAGCUGGUGCAAGUGAAGAUGCUGUGGCUACCACCCCAGCACCAAAUCCCCCAACUACAUCUGACCACACUGCAGCUACCGAUGAUGCAAGUGAGGGUGCUGUGGCUGCCCAAACUGGAACUACUGUAUCCCAUACGACUGAAGUCUGAUUCGACUGCUCCUCUGGUCACAAUGACCUGAGUCACUGUCUGGACUUUUUGCCUCUACAUGUUCACUGCAAUAAAGGACAGAUUUGUUUUUUUUAAUCA
ensembl:lncRNA